AUGUCACAGUACUGGUGGGGAGACGAGGAUGAGAAGAAGCAUAUGCACUGGUUUACGUGGUGGAAAAUGUGUGUGCCAAAGACCAAUGGAGGUAUGGGUUUUAGAGAUGUACACUGCUUCAAUCUGGCGCUCCUAGCAAAGCAGUGCUGGAUAUUGUUACCAGAACCUGAUUCUUUAUGUGCCAGAGUAUUGAGGGCAAAGUAUUUCCUGGACGGUGAUUUACUGAACUGUUCCCUCAAGAAAGGCAGUUCUUAUACAUGGCAGAGCUUGUGGAGUGGUAUUUAGACUUUCAAGAAAGGUUAUAUAUGGAGAGUGGGAGAUGGCACUCAAAUAAGUAUUUGGAGUGAUCCUUGGGUACCCAGCAGCCCAAACAGGAAGGUAAUGACUCCAUGA
rnacentral:rRNA from 1 species